rnacentral:rRNA from 1 species
AGUGAACGCUGGCGGUAGGCCUAACACAUGCAAGUCGAACGGCAGCACAGUAAGAGCUUGCUCUUACGGGUGGCGAGUGGCGGACGGGUGAGGUAUACAUCGGAAUCUACUUUUUCGUGGGGGAUAACGUAGGGAAACUUACGCUAAUACAGCAUACGACCUACGGGUGAAAGCAGGGGAUCUUCGGACCUUGCGCGAUUGAAUGAGCCGAGGUCGGAUUAGCUAGUUGGCGGGGUAACGGCCCACCAAGGCGACGAUCCGUAGCUGGUCUGAGAGGAGGAUCAGCCACACUGGAACUGAGACACGGUCCAGACUCCUACGGGAGGCAGCAGUGGGGAAUAUAGGACAAAGGGGGCAAGCCUGAUCCAGCCAUACCGCGUGGGUGAAGAAGGCCUUCGGGUUGUAAAGCCCUUUUGUUGGGAAAGAAAAGCAGCAGGUUAAUACCCCGCUGUUCUGACGGUACCCAAAGAAUAAGCACCGGCUAACUUCGUG